GCCAGACUUGGAACCGGGAGAGGUAAGAGGUACUACAGGGGUAGGAGUGAAAUCUUGUAAUCCCUGUGGGACCACCUGUGGCGAAGGCGUCUACCAGAACGGGUUCGACGGUGAGGGACGAAAGCUGGGGGCACGAACCGGAUUAGAUACCCGGGUAGUCCCAGCCGUAAAACGAUGCUCGCUAGGUGUCAGGCAUGGCGCGACCGUGUCUGGUGCCGCAGGGAAGCCGUGAAGCGAGCCACCUGGGAAGUACGGCCGCAAGGCUGAAACUUAAAGGAAUUGGGCGGGGGAGCACAACAACGGGUGGAGCCCUGCGGUUUAAUUGGACUCAACGCCGGACAACUCACCGGGGGCGACAGCAAUAUGUAGGCCAAGCUGAAGACUUUGCCUGAAUCGCUGAGAAGUGGUGCAUGG
rnacentral:rRNA from 1 species